UUAAGCAUAUCAAUAAGCGGAGGAAAAGAAACCAACAGGGAUUGCCCCAGUAACGGCGAGUGAAGCGGCAACAGCUCAAAUUUGAAAUCUGGCCCCAGGCCCGAGUUGUAAUUUGCAGAGGAUGCUUUUGGCGCGGUGCCUUCCGAGUUCCCUGGAACGGGACGCCAUAGAGGGUGAGAGCCCCGUACGGUUGGACACCAAGCCUUUGUAAAGCUCCUUCGACGAGUCGAGUAGUUUGGGAAUGCUGCUCUAAAUGGGAGGUACAUUUCUUCUAAAGCUAAAUAUUGGCCAGAGACCGAUAGCGCACAAGUAGAGUGAUCGAAAGAUGAAAAGCACUUUGAAAAGAGGGUUAAACAGCACGUGAAAUUGUUAAAAGGGAAGCGCUUGUGACCAGACUUGCGUCCGGUGAAUCACCCAGCUCUCGCGGCUGGGGCACUUCGCCGGCACAGGCCAGCAUCAGCUUGCCGUCGGGGACAAAAGCUUCAGGAACGUGGCUCCUCUCGGGGAGUGUUAUAGCCUGUUGCAUAAUACCCUUCGGCGGGCUGAGGUACGCGCUCCGCAAGGAUGCUGGCGUAAUGGUCAUCAGCGACCCGUCUUGAAACACGGACCAAGGAGUCAACCUUAUGUGCGAGUGUUUGGGUGUUAAACCCCUACGCGUAAUGAAAGUGAACGCAGGUGAGAGCUUCGGCGCAUCAUCGACCGAUCCUGAUGUUCUCGGAUGGAUUUGAGUAAGAGCAUAUAGGGUUGGACCCGAAAGAAGGUGAACUAUGCGUGUGUAGGGUGAAGCCAGAGGAAACUCUGGUGGAGGCUCGCAGCGGUUCUGACGUGCAAAUCGAUCGUCAAACAUGCGCAUGGGGGCGAAAGACUAAUCGAACCUUCUAGUAGCUGGUUUCCGCCGAAGUU
rnacentral:rRNA from 1 species